UUCCGGUUGAUCCCGCCGGAGGUCACUGCUAUUGGAGUUCGAUUAAGCCAUGCGAGUCAAGAGUUCUUCGUGAACUCGGCGGACUGCUCAGUAACACGUGGGUAAUCUACCCUCAGGUCAGGGACAACCCCGGGAAACUGGGGAUAAUACCUGAUAGGUGAAGUGGUCUGGAAUGAUACUUCGCCCAAAGCUCCGGCGCCUGAGGAUGAGCCUGCGGCCGAUUAGGUUGUUGGCGGUGUAACGGACCACCAAGCCUGUGAUCGGUAUGGGUGGUGAGAGCCAUAGCCCGGAGAUGGGGGCUGAGACACGGCCCCAGGCCCUACGGGGCGCAGCAGGCGCGAAAACUACGCAAUGCGCGAAAGCGUGACGUGGGAACUCCAAGUGCCUUGCCUUCGGGUAAGGCUUUUGUGCAGUGUAAGUAGCUACACGAAUAAGGGCUGGGUAAGACCGGUGCCAGCCGCCGCGGUAACACCGGCAGCCCGAGUGGUGACCGCUUUUAUUGGGCCUAAAGCGUUCGUAGCCGGUCCAGUAAGUCCUUGGGUAAAUCCUUCGGCUUAACCGAAGGAAUUCCGAGGAUACUGCUGGACUUGGAGUUGAGAGAAGUCGGAGGUACCUCCGGGGUAGGGGUGAAAUCCUAUAAUCCUGGGGGGACCACCAGUGGCGAAGGCGUCCGGCUAGAGUAAGCUCGACGGUGAGGGACGAAAGCCAGGGGCGCGAACGGGAUUAGAUACCCCGGUAGUCCUGGCUGUAAACGCUGCGCGCUAGGUGUUACGUCCUCUACGAGGGGGCGUAGUGCCGAAGAGAAGUUGAUAAGCGUGCCGCCUGGGAAGUAUUACCGCAAGGUAGAAACUUAAAGGAAUUGGCGGGGGAGCACCACAAGGGGUGGAGUCUGCGGUUCAAUUGGAUUCAACGCCGGA
rnacentral:rRNA from 1 species